UGGUGGUCUGAACUGUCUGGUUAAUUCCGAUAACGAACGAGAUCUCAACCUACUAACUAGUUAUGCGAAUCUUUCUACCAAAGGUUUGGCGUCGCCGGCGCGGUUGCUUCGGUGGCUGCGUCGGUUGCGGCGUCGCCUGGAUAGAUUCGUAGGCAACUUCUUAGAGGGACUAUUGGCGUUAAGCCAAUGGAAGCUUGAGACAAAAACA
rnacentral:rRNA from 1 species